GAUUUUGAAAUGUGAUUCCAUAAUUGCUAUUUUUUUUUUUUAGACGGAGGGUUGCUAUUGUUGUCCAGGCUGGAGUGCAAAAGCAGGAUCUCAGCUCACUAUGACCUCCACCUCCCUCCUGGGUUCAAGCGAUUCUCCUGCCUCAGCCUCCCGAGUAGCUGGGAUUAAAGACAUGCACCACCAUGCCCAGCUAUUUUUGUAUUUUUAGUACAGAUGGAGUUUCUCCAUGUUGGUCAGGCUGGUGUAGAACUCCCGACCUCAGGUGAUCCACCCGCCACGGCCUCUCAAAGUGCUGGGAUUACAGGCGUGAUGACCCACUGCGGUCAGACAGGUGAGAAAACUGAGACUCAGAGGAGUUAAAAAUGCAUUCACGAUCGUAUAGUAAUGACUCCAAAAGUGGUGCGUCAUCUUAACGAAAACCAAGUUAUACCCAGCACAUGAAGGUACUCAAAAGAUGUGGAUUCCCUUUUUCUAUACCCUUGUGUGUGAAUUUCAGUGGCUUUCACAACUUCAGAACAAUCCCACACACCCUUCCAGGUUGCCUUUCAG
rnacentral:lncRNA from 1 species